AGCAGCCCUACGUGGGAAAAGCAAGUCAGAAGUGGAUAUCUGUUCUGAAGUGAUGAUCUGAGGUACGGCUGUAACCCUCUUUGGACUAAAGACUCAAUCAGCAUCUCACUACAGAUGCAGCCCCAUCAGUGCUGCAGCUGGAAUUGAAUGCAGUGUUGAUCAAUGCUAAUGGUGUUAAGUUGCAAUGCUGUCAGAGCACCUGCAAUACCUGCUCUGGACCCUUCUGAGCACCCUCGUGUAGCUCUGCUGGUAUGGUGUUAUCUCCCUGGCCUUCCCACUGUUUCACUUGGGUACCGACAGGUGGUGGAAAGGGAGCAGGAGAAGGCUGCAGGGUCCCAAGUGUUAUAUUUCAGCGUAGGCUCCCCAACAGGGUGAAUACCCUCAGGGAUAGACUUCAGCCUUGCAUGGAGAUCAGAUCAGCUUGAACACAUCAGGGUGGAGAGAUGCCUGCUUUCCCCUUCCCAUCGGGAAAUGCCUAGGGGUGUUCCCAUUGUAAUGCAAGAGAUGCAAACAGUAUCGGCUAUCCCUGCCUGCAGCAGUCACUUCUCACACCCAGAUCUGCUCAGUGUGGUUGGAAUGAGUGAGGAUGCCCAAGAUCUCUACUUGGGAAAACAGCUCUGGAACUAAAACCUCUUAACUUGUAAGCUCAUCCCGUCAACAUCCUUAGUCACAGUGCUCAUAACAAGCUCUAGAUACUGCAUCUGUCAGUGUAACAUUACACUCAUGUUACUGCAAGCUCAGCAACGGCAUUAGAAUCACCUAAUGCAUUAGUAUCAGAGCUCAACCCCAAAUCUUGAAGCGCUUGAUGUCAACAGAGCCAGACCUUGCUAAUGUUUCAUCAAGACACUUGCCGCUCAAGCAUUCUCAUUACUCCUUGGCCACUCACCCCAGACUAACACACUAAUGCAUUUCAGCGCUUAUUGCUUUAUUAUCCAUUAAGAAAACCAACACUCCAUCACUUUCUGGCAAAGGUCCCGUGCUUAUACUUGUGCCACAAAUUAAUAAAGCUCCUAAUGAAAUAAGCCUUUCAGGAGCCUAAUUGCUUUCUCUUUGCCGUACAGAAAGGGUUUGUUAGAAGCAUCGCCUAACGGUACUGUCUGAGGAAGAAGAACAAGAAUCGUUGUACUUUUUGAUUUUGUGUUUUGAGCAUUUCAGAGCAUAAAGAGUUUUCUCAUACUGUGUGUCCAGCGCCUUGUACAAUACUGUGGUUCAUGGUGAGGCGUUCUGGUUGCUACCAGAACACAAUGAACAAGCACAAAGAUGAUGAAAUGAUGAUAGAGAACAGCUCGGGAAAAUUAUUUCCGUCAAGGCUAAGGGGCACAGCACGCAUCCAAUUACUGCCGUGGGAAGCAUUACAUUACUACAAGGCACCACAGCGAGUGUCUUGUUUGCUGUACUGGCCAGCCCUGUCAUGUUAACAACAGGGCACUUGGUAAAUAUAACAAGAGACUGCAAAUUCAUUAAAACUGCAGAAGAGAAAAUUGAGGGUAGAUCUUUCUGAGAAGUUGAGUCUCAUUAGCCCUCCUUCUUGCUAAAUCACAGAAUGCAGCACAUGGGGAAAAAACGGGUCAUAAACUCUGAAUGGACACAACUGCAGGACAUCAGAGACAGUGCUGCUUUUUCAAAGGCUGUUGUAACGUUAACAAGCGUUGAACACCACAUACAGGCGCAGAAGCCAGGAGGAGGGUUGGCAGGUUUGCAACAAGGACAUUGUGCUUUACGGAACAGAGGUUUCCAGCUGUGCUGUGCAUUUUGCUGCUGAUCAUGAACUGCACUGAGUUUGGCCAUGAAGCCUUUACAGCUUCCCAGCCCCAGCGUUGCUACUGCCCGCCUCCUGAUGGGACCCCCUGGAUGGAUCCCGGACCUGCUUCAUAGCUUGCUGGAGCUGUUGAUGAAGCCCAUUACCAGCCCUUGGCUCUGCCCACUGUCCUCAGACCCCAUGGGACUGUGUCCUGUUGAUGAUGAUGCCGCUCCUGGCCUUUGCUGCUGCCAGACACUGGCUGUGAAAAGGCUGUACUUUGUUUGAGUGCAUCUUCCUGGGGUGGGGGGUACCAGGAUAGAUCCCGAUGAGGGAGGAUGAAGCCCUGCUGCUCUUCACAGAGUUGAAGAUCUCCCCAGCUUUCACACUUUGACGGAUUUGCUUCACAUUAGCUAAUAGGUUUCAAGAGUUACUUGGGGAACGGAGAGAAGACCGGCUGGCACAGGCAGCAGCA